rnacentral:rRNA from 1 species
UACGUAGGGGGCUAGCGUUGUCCGGAUUUAUUGGGCGUAAAGAGCGUGUAGGCGGCCAGGUAGGUCUGCUGUGAAAACUCGAGGCUCAACCUCGAGACGUCGGCGGAAACCAUCUGGCUAGAGUCCGGAAGAGGAGAGUGGAAUUCCUGGUGUAGCAGUGAAAUGCGCAGAUAUCAGGAAGAACACCAGUGGCGAAGGCGGCUCACUGGCCCGGUACUGACGCUGAGGUGCGAAAGCGUGGGGAGCAAACAGG